rnacentral:rRNA from 1 species
GGCCCUCACCUACCUUAUCUCUUUGGGGAAGAGUUUUCUCCUCCACUCCCUGCCCAGUGCCCACGACGCAUCUCAUCCCCAUCUCUCUCGUGUCUUCCUCUCCCAUCCACACUUCUCAUAGCCCUCCGCGCUGAACUGCUGUAGAUGCAGCCACCAGCAAGGGCGACCACCGAUGCCCAAGCAAAGAAACAACACAUUUGUGAGCGGAGACAGGCAGUGGAUUCAACCGGAGGCGGCGGAUCUGCAGACCCAGGUUGGUGGAGCUGCAACCACGGCGAUGGGGAGCAACAUCCGACGGCGCUGCGUUGUGCUGGACCAGUGCUGCAACCAGCACACAGCGGUGCUGGAGACGGCGGCAACAAGUGCUGGAGAGCCACGGCGACCAGCGUUGAUGGGCGUUUGGAACCACGGCGACAAGUGCUGGAGAUCCGGCGAGGUCUUUUAUGCUCGAAGCAGCCCCAAAAUUUGUUACCAUUGUUUCUAUUUUUGUUGGAAUCAGCCAUUUUUUUGCUACCACGUUUCUCUUUUGCUGGAACCAGCGGGUACCAAUUUGCUAUCACCAUGUUCGGUUUUUGCUGGAACCAACUAAAAUUUUGCUACCAUGUUUUGUUUGGUAGAAGCAGUGUACCAAUUUUUUUGCUACCACCAUGUUCGGUUUUUGCU